rnacentral:rRNA from 1 species
AGUGAACGCUGGCGGCGUGCUUAACACAUGCAAGUCGAACGAAAAAUAGCAAUAUUUUUAGUGGCAAACGGGUGAGUAAUGCAUAGGAAUCUGCCUUAUAGUGGGGGACAACAGUUGGAAACGACUGCUAAUACCGCAUACUACCAUUUAUGGGAAAGUCGCAAGACGCUAUUUGAUGAGCCUAUGUCUGAUUAGUUUGUUGGUGGGGUAAUGGCCUACCAAGACUACGAUCAGUAGCCGGUCUGAGAGGACGAUCGGCCACACUGGAACUGAGACACGGUCCAGACUCCUACGGGAGGCAGCAGUGGGGAAUAUUGGACAAUGGACGAAAGUCUGAUCCAGCAACGCCGCGUGGUGGAUGAAGGCCUUAGGGUUGUAAACACCUUUUAUUAGGGAAGAUAAUGACGGUACCUAAUGAAUAAGCAUCGGCUAACUUCGUGCCAGCAGCCGCGGUAAUACGAAGGAUGCUAGCGUUACUCGGAAUUACUGGGCGUAAAGAAUAUGUAGGCUGACUGUUAAGUUGAUAGUGAAAUCCCCGAGCCUAACUCGGGAACUGCUCUCAAAACUGAUAGUCUAGAAUAUGGUAGAGAGUAAGGGAAUUCUUGGUGUAGGGGUAAAAUCCGUAGAUAUCAGGAGGAAGACCGGAAGCGAAAGCGCUUACUUGGGCCAUUAUUGACGCUGAGAUAUGAAAGCGUGGGGAUCGAACAGGAUUAGAUACCCUGGUAGUCCACGCUGUAAACGAUGAGUGCUAAUUCUGGGGACUUGUUCUCUGGGGUAAAGCUAACGCGUUAAGCACUCCGCCUGGGUAGUACGAUCGCAAGAUUAAAACUCAAAGGAAUUGACGGGGGCCCGUACAAGCGGUGGAGCAUGUGGUUUAAUUCGAUGAUAACCGAAAAACCUUACCAGCCCUUGACAUACACGUCGAGACU